UUUGCGAUACCAAAAUACCCGUAAAUCUGCUGUACCCGUCUUCGUAAAUCCGCGAGUUAAACCCGUAUAUCUUUGGCAUCGAUCGCGAGUACCCCUACCUGCUGCUUGAUAUGACAUUCACCAAGAAAUCUAGAAAGUAUGAUACUACCUCUGUAGUAGAGUUAGUGCGGUUUAUUCGAAAUGCUUACGCACACGUCUCUGAAUCCACACGACCACCAACGAUCAGAAAAAUGUUACUUGACGACUUCGUGUUUCUGGAAGAUUUCCCUCAUCUUGUGAUGGAAGUGUACAAGGUUGUGACCAAUCAUGGAUGGGAUCAAUCAGUAAAAGAAAUUAAGUACGCGAUAAACAAGUAACAAGGUCAUGACUAUCAUGUUCUGUGUGUAAAGAUACCAUUUGCCUUGGAGAAAGGAGACACUGAACAACACAAGAUUGAUACCAAUCAUGUAAAAACACUGGUAUUAAAGGACCAUUGAUAAUUGAUUUAGUAGGGGAGGGGAGGGGUAUCAAUCAUUAGGAUAAACAAGACACAACACUGUAUAACAUACACUGGUAUUAAAGGACCAUUGAUAAUUGAUUUAGUAGGGGAGGGGAGGGGUAUCAAUCAGUAGGAUAAACAAGACACAA